GUAUCAGGAGCUACGACUUCCAAAUUCAAUUGCUCCAUUUCCUUUACUAACAGCGAUUGCAUAGUUAUCGACAUCACCAAAUUUUCCGUCAAUUUUCGACUUAAAGCAUCUGCUACAACAGUAGCCUUUCCUGGAUGAUAAAGAAUGGUCAAAUCAUAAUCCUUGAGCAACUCCAACCAUCUACGUUGUCUGAAGUUUAAUUCCUUUUAUGAUCUGCAUACACUUCGCAACGCUCGCCGUA
rnacentral:lncRNA from 1 species